rnacentral:rRNA from 1 species
GGCAACAGCUCAAAUUUGAAAUCUGGCCUCGGCCCGAGUUGUAAUUUGCAGAGGAUGCUUUUGGUGCGGUGCCUUCCGAGUUCCCUGGAACGGGACGCCACAGAGGGUGAGAGCCCCGUAUGGUUGGACACCAAUCCUGUGUAAAGCUCCUUCGACGAGUCGAGUAGUUUGGGAAUGCUGCUCUAAAUGGGAGGUAAAUCUCUUCUAAAGCUAAAUACCGGCCAGAGACCGAUAGCGCACAAGUAGAGUGAUCGAAAGAUGAAAAGCACCUUGAAAAGGGGGUUAAACAGUACGUGAAAUUGUUGAAAGGGAAGCACUUGUGACCAGACUUGGGCCGGGCGGCUCAUCAGGGGUUCUCCCCUGUGCAUUCCGCCCGGUACAGGCCAGCAUCGGUUCUUACCGGGGGAUAAGAACGGCAGGAACGUGGCUCCCCCUCGGGGGAGUGUUAUAGCCUGCCGUACGAUACCCUGGCGGGGACCGAGGUUCGCGCUUCCGCAAGGAUGCUGGCGUAAUGGUUACUAGUGACCCGUCUUGAAACACGGACCAAGGAGUCGUCCAUUAGAGCGAGCGUUUGGGUGUCAAACCCCCACGCGUAAUGAAAGUGAAAUUAGGUGAGAGCUUCGGCGCAUCAUCGACCGAUCCUGAUGUUCUCGGAUGGAUUUGAGUAAGAGUUUUAACGGACGGACCCGAAAGACAGUGAACUAUGCUUGUAUAGGGUGAAGCCAGAGGAAACUCUGGUGGAGGCUCGCAGCGGUUCUGACGUGCAAAUCGAUCGUCA